rnacentral:lncRNA from 1 species
CAGAGAGAAGACAUUGCAGUUAUAUAUGGUGGUAGCAAGUGACAACUUAUGUACAUAUGGUGGUAAGCAGAGAGAAGACGUUGCAGUUAUAUAUGGUGGUAGCAAGUGACAACUUAUGUACAUGGUUCAGCAGUGGAAAGACAGUUCAUCUACAUAUGGUGGUAGACAAAGAGAAGACAUUGCAGUCAUAUAUGGUGGUAGCAAGUGACAACUUAUGUACAUGGGUAAGCCGUGAAAAAGACAGUUCAGCUACAUAUGGUGGUAAGCAGAGAGGAGAUGAUGCUGCAGUUAUGUAUGGUGGUAGCAAGUGACAAGUAAUGUGGAAAUGUUAUCAAAUGCAUUAUGAAAUCUGGACCUUAAAACCUUAUUCUUCUACUGAAAAGUUCUUUCUUUGUGUGGAGUUGGGGGGCUUCGCAUGAGGAUAGAUACUUUUUUUGUAGUUUGGCUAAAGAAGUGUAAAGCAAUACAUUGUUGUACACUUCUAAACUGUUCCGGAUUGAAUCUUGUGUUUGGCAACAGUCUGCAUUCCUACACCAGUGAGAAGAUGUUUCAGUUCUACAUGGUGGUAGCAAGUGACAAGCUAUUUCAGUUAUGCAUGGCGGUAGCAUGUGAAAAGAUAUUUCAGUUAUGCACAUGGGUAACAAGUGGAAAUGUAUCAUAGGUAUAUGCUUGAUGCUAACCUGUGCAAAUAUAUUUCAGUUAUGUAUGGUGGUAACCGUCGAAAAGAUAUUUCAGCUACAUAUGGUGGUAACCUGGGAGAAGAAAGAAGACCCACUUGAAUAUGGUGGUAAAGAGUGAAAAGACAAUUCAAUUAUGUAUGGUGGUAACCGUCGAAAAGAUAUUUCAGCUACAUAUGGUGGUAACCUGGGAGAAGAAAGAAGACCCACUUGAAUAUGGUGGUAAAGAGUGAAAAGACAAUUCAAUUAUGUAUGGUGGUAACCGUCGAAAAGAUAUUUCAGCUACAUAUGGUGGUAACCUGGGAGAAGAAAGAAGACCCACUUGAAUAUGGUGGUAAAGAGUGAAAAGACAAUUCAAUUAUGUAUGGUGGUAACCGUCGAAAAGAUAUUUCAGCUACAUAUGGUGGUAACCUGGGAGAAGAAAGAAGACCCACUUGAAUAUGGUGGUAAAGAGUGAAAAGACAAUUCAAUUAUGUAUGGUGGUAACCGUCGAAAAGAUAUUUCAGCUACAUAUGGUGGUAACCUGGGAGAAGAAAGAAGACCCACUUGAAUAUGGUGGUAAAGAGUGAAAAGACAAUUCAAUUAUGUAUGGUGGUAACCGUCGAAAAGAUAUUUCAGCUACAUAUGGUGGUAACCUGGGAGAAGAAAGAAGACCCACUUGAAUAUGGUGGUAAAGAGUGAAAAGACAAUUCAAUUAUGUAUGGUGGUAACCGUCGAAAAGAUAUUUCAGCUACAUAUGGUGGUAACCUGGGAGAAGAAAGAAGACCCACUUGAAUAUGGUGGUAAAGAGUGAAAAGACAAUUCAAUUAUGUAUGGUGGUAACCGUCGAAAAGAUAUUUCAGCUACAUAUGGUGGUAACCUGGGAGAAGAAAGAAGACCCACUUGAAUAUGGUGGUAAAGAGUGAAAAGACAAUUCAAUUAUGUAUGGUGGUAACCGUCGAAAAGAUAUUUCAGCUACAUAUGGUGGUAACCUGGGAGAAGAAAGAAGACCCACUUGAAUAUGGUGGUAAAGAGUGAAAAGACAAUUCAAUUAUGUAUGGUGGUAACCGUCGAAAAGAUAUUUCAGCUACAUAUGGUGGUAACCUGGGAGAAGAAAGAAGACCCACUUGAAUAUGGUGGUAAAGAGUGAAAAGACAAUUCAAGUAUGUAUGGUGGUAAUGGUAACCAGGGGAAAGGUAUUUUAUUUAUGUAUGGUAGUAGCAAGUGACAAAUGUAUUUCAGUUAUGUACACGGAGAACUAGUGAAAAGAUAGUUCAGCUAUAUACGGUGGUAAGCGGAGAGAAGAUGCUGCAGUAAUGUAUGGUGGUAGCAAGUGACAAAUUGUGUACAUGGGUGAGCAAUAAAGAAGACAGUUCAGCUACAUAUGCUGGUAAGCAGAGUGAAGAUAUUGCAGUUAUGUAUGGUCGAAGCAUUGUUGUAAGCAGAGAGUUAUGUAUGGUGGU